UACGAAGGGGGCUAGCGUUGCUCGGCAUCACUGGGCGUAAAGCGCACGUAGGCGGAUUGUUAAGUCGGGGGUGAAAUCCUGGAGCUCAACUCCAGAACUGCCUUCGAUACUGGCGAUCUUGAGUCCGGGAGAGGUGAGUGGAACUCCGAGUGUAGAGGUGAAAUUCGUAGAUAUUCGGAAGAACACCAGUGGCGAAGGCGGCUCACUGGCCCGGUACUGACGCUGAGGUGCGAAAGCGUGGGGAGCAAACAGG
rnacentral:rRNA from 1 species